UCUGCUUAGAUAUUGUUUCCUCCAGGAAGUCUUCCGUGGUCCAUAAAGUUGGGGUUUGACGCCUCUUCUGUGAAUUCCCAUAGCACCCUAGACUUGACUAGCACUGUGCUCAUCACGCUGUGUUGUAAUUACCUGGGGUUUCACCUCGCCCUCCCACCAGAACAUACCCUUCCAAAGGAACAGGAACCAAAUCUGCAUUGCUCACUGCUGCUUCCCUAGCACCUUUGCAAAGAAUGUCUCACAUGGGUGUAGGCAGGCCGCCAUCCCUCAGAUUGAUUGACUGAUAAACCCUCCAGAAGGCAGGGACAAGAUCAGUGCUCAAACCUACAGCUCAAGCUCUCAACUCCUGUCUGAAUGUCAGAACCACAUCUCCAAAUGCUUACCGGAUAUCUUCUGCUUGAAGUAAAUGCGUUCAAAACUGAGUUUAUUACCUUCUUGUAAUAAACAGAGAAAAUCAUGCUCACCAAGUAUUCUAUGUGCUCCCCUCUACUUUCCAAACUUCUGUAGUUAGGAGAGGCCAUAAGACUGGUUCUGGCCAAUGAAAUGUGCAUGGAAGCAACAUACGUCAUGUCUGGGCUGGGGUAAUAAAAAGCCCUGUACACAA